GACGGAGGAUGCAAGCGUUAUCCGGAAUGAUUGGGCGUAAAGCGUCCGCAGGUGGCAGUUCAAGUCUGCUGUCAAAGACCGGGGCUUAACUUCGGAAAGGCAGUGGAAACUGAACAGCUAGAGUAUGGUAGGGGCAGAGGGAAUUCCUGGUGUAGCGGUGAAACGCGUAGAGAUCAGGAAGAACAUCGGUGGCGAAGGCGCUCUGCUGGACCAUAACUGACACUCAGGGACGAAAGCUAGGGGAGCGAAUGGG
rnacentral:rRNA from 1 species